CCUGAGAAACCCAAAAGAUCGAAUGGGGAGAUUCAUCGUCAGCGAGCCUGGUACGUGUGCGGCUCGCGAUGUCGGGGACUUCGGUCCUUUGGCACGCGUCCGCAUUGUUUUAUUGCCGGGUUCCGUCGGCGUGCACUUCUCCCCUAGUAGGACGUCGCGACCCGUUGAGUGUCGGUCUACGACUCGGGUGGGCGCCUGUCAUGCGUCACGCUUAACGGCGUCGUGCUGGCAGACCCCCGGUUGUCUGGCCGGCUGCUCGGCGGUACUCGCACGGUAUCGGGCCGCAGAUAUUCGAACUGCGUCCGGCCCGCCGCAAGCGAGGUCAGUCUUUCCCCGGAUGUACGGACCUAGCGCCGUCACCGGGUCUGGCCAGCCUGUUGGUCGGCGGUGUCCUAGGACUGGCUCAUUAAUUGAAUUAUGAUACCGGUCGGCGACGCUACUGCUUUGGGUACUUUCAGGACCCGUCUUGAAACACGGACCAAGGAGUCUAACAUGUGCGCGAGUCAUUGGGAGCUAUAUUAAGCCUAAAGGCGUAAUGAAAGUGAAGGUCGGCCCAGUGCCGACCGAGGGAGGAUGGGCCGCGUCACGAUGCGGUCCCGCACUCCCGGGGCGUCUCGUUCUCAAUGCGAGAGGAGGCGCACCCAGAGCGUACACGUUG
rnacentral:rRNA from 1 species